UCGAGGACGACCUCAAAAUCACCUUUUCGGCCGGGACGACCCGG
rfam:Rhodopseudomonas palustris CGA009 complete genome.